GUAUAAUCCAGGAGUAUCCAAAUAGACAUUUACUUCUUUAUAUGCAGCAAAACACAUAUGUGUUAAUGGUCCCCUGAGCUAUCAAGUAAAAGGGACUCCUGGCUAAGGAAUGAAAUUACAUAUGGUUUAUAUAGUUAUAUAUAGUUAUAAGAGUGUGGUACUGUGAAGAUAAGGUAACAAGUUUUUAUGUCAAUGCCAAUUUUCAGCGUUCACCCAUUGCCCCAGAUACAGUUAUUCAUUCUCUAUCAACUGUGCCUCACCAAUAUAUUUCACAUUCUUAUAAUUACAACCAUUCUACUUUAGACCUUUUUUUUUGUUGUUAUUUUGACUAUUGCAGUGGCCUCAAAUUUCGUUCCUCCACUUUCAUUCAUCUUGCUCAAAAGCUACCCACCAUAAUGAUGGAAAAUUAUCUUCCUAAAAUGCAAAUUAUUAAACUUUUGAUAGAUCUGGCCCCUUCUUGCCUCUCCUGUCCCUUCUACUAGUUAUCCAACGCAAAUCAUACAUUUCCACACGUUCACCAUCAUUUUCUAGUUUACACACUGUUGUCUUUUGCUUACUCCUAAUAGUUUUUCUAAUACACCGUACUUUUCCCUGUUUUACCUGACUGUACCUACACAUUUAUUCCUUUAGAUUCAGUUUAGGUUUAACUUUUUUUCGGAACACCUUUCCUGAUUCACUAUGCCCAAACUCCACCAUUUCCUCCAGACUCUCCAUGUUCCCAAUGGUGUGUGUGUGGGUGGGUGUGUGGGGGUGUGUGUGUGUGUGAAUAUCAUUCAUCUGUCUCCUUCACUAGACUGUAAGCAGCUGGAGGGUAGAGCUUGCCUUAUAUCUUGCUUUCUAUAUCUUCAGUGUCAGCACUUAGAAAAUGUUUGAGUGACUGACUCGUGUUCUUAAUAUUUCUCGCUUUGGGGUUACCAUGGUCAUUCCUUUACCUAGGGAACAAGACGUCAAAUCACCAUGUAACCUGAUACAUUAUUUAGCUAAAAACUGCUUCAAUGAAUAUUGUUGCAACAGUUUUUCUACAGACUAAAGGUAUUAUAAUGUAUACCUUUUUUUUUGCUGCUGUCUGACCUUUAGUCUCAAGGACUAGAAUGUAACUCCAUCAGGGCAGGGAUUUUUUUAUCUGCCUUUUCUAUUCUGUUCCCAACACUAGGACAACAUAGGUGCUCAAUAAAAAUUUAUUGAAACAGAUGAAACUGCUUUUUUUUCUUUUUUUAGCUGUUACAAGCUUCUCUGUAUUACAUUGUUUCUAAUCAAUGGCAGGGUAUAACCACAGAUAUGAUUUGUUUAAAUAAAAGAAUUUUCAAAUUAUUUAGUUUUAUAGCAUAGCAUCAUUUUGGCCAGGCAUGGUGGCUCACGCCUGUAAUCCCAGCACUUUGGGAGGCCAAGGUGGGCGAAUCAUGAGGUCAGGAGUUCGAGACCAGCCUGGCCAACAUGGUGAAACCCCGUCUCUAUUAAAAAUACAAAAAAAUUAGCUGGGCGUGGUGGCAGGUGCCUGUAAUUCCAGCUACUUGGGAGGCUGAGGCAGGAGAAUUGCUUGAACCUGGGAGGUGGAGGUUGCAAUGAGCCGAGAUCCUGCCACUGCACCCCAAGCCCAGGUGAUUGAUAGUGCGACACUCCGUCUCAAAAAAAAUAUAUAUAUAUGUGUGUGUGUGUGUGUGUGUGUGUGUGUGUGUGUGUGUAGCAUCAUUUCUUUUAUGUUUACUUUCUCAGUGGGAUAUACCAUUGGCCUUUGCCUAAUAUUAAAAUGAGCAUACAUAUCCAUUGCCAGAACAGAUUCCAGCUAACAGCAAAGAGAGCUACCCACACAGCAUGCUACAUUAUAUAAAAUUUGGAGAAGGUUAUCUAGUUCAGGGCAUUGAUCUGCUUAGAUCUUUUCAUCUUAAAGAGAGAAAAUACAAAUUAUUUUUAGACCUGAAAUCAAGUGCUCAACUCCAAACAACAUUUCU
rnacentral:lncRNA from 10 species